rnacentral:ncRNA from 2 species
AUGGCUUAUAACUAAAGAGCUUAUAUAUGAUUAUAAUAUGGAUAAUCGUUUCUACUCAGCACCACAAAUGUUGAACUAUAAGCAAAAUAAGGAAACAU